UACGUAGGGGGCGAGCGUUGUCCGGAUUUAUUGGGCGUAAAGAGCGUGUAGGCGGCCUGGCAGGUCUGCUGUGAAAACUCGAGGCUCAACCUCGAGAUGUCGGCGGAAACCGUCUGGCUAGAGUCCGGAAGAGGAGAGUGGAAUUCCUGGUGUAGCGGUGAAAUGCGCAGAUAUCAGGAAGAACACCUAUGGCGAAGGCAGCUCUCUGGGACGGUACUGACGCUGAGACGCGAAAGCGUGGGGGAGCAAACAGG
rnacentral:rRNA from 1 species